ensembl:snRNA U6 U6 spliceosomal RNA
UUGUUUUCACAGCAAAUAUACUAAAAUUGGAACCAUAAAGAGAAAUUAGCUUGACCUCUGUCAAGAGUGACACAUACAUUUGUGCAGUGUUCCUUAUUUAU